rnacentral:rRNA from 1 species
UACGAAGGGGGCUAGCGUUGUUCGGAAUUACUGGGCGUAAAGGGCGCGUAGGCGGCCUCGUCCGUCCGGCGUGAAAUGCCUGGGCUUAACCUAGGAAUUGCGCUCGAUACAGCGAGGCUAGAGUGUGGGAGAGGUUGGUGGAAUUCCCAGUGUAGAGGUGAAAUUCGUAGAUAUUGGGAAGAACACCGGUGGCGAAGGCGACCAACUAGACCACAACUGACGCUGAGGCGCGAAAGCGUGGGGAGCAAACAGG